rnacentral:tRNA from 1 species
UACACUUUAGUAUAGAUGUAUAAAAGUUUUUGAUACUUUAGGGGACAAUUAAUUUUGUUAAGUGUAU